rnacentral:rRNA from 1 species
CCUACGGGAGGCAGCAGUGAGGAAUAUUGGUCAAUGGACGAGAGUCUGAACCAGCCAAGUAGCGUGAAGGAUGACUGCCCUAUGGGUUGUAAACUUCUUUUAUAUGGGAAUAAAAUGUUCCACGUGUGGGGUUUUGUAUGUACCAUAUGAAUAAGGAUCGGCUAACUCCGUGCCAUCAGCAGCGGUAAUACGGUGGAUACGAGCGUUAUGCGGAUUUAUUGGGUUUAAAGGGAGCGUAGGUGGUAUGUUAAGUCAGGUGUGAAAGUUUGCGGCUCAACCGUAAAAUUGCAGUUGAAACUGGCAGUCUUGAGUACAGUAGAGGAGGGCGGAAUGCGUGGUGUAGCGGUGAAAUGCUUAGAUAUCACGAAGAACUCCGAUUGCGAAGGCAGUUCACUGGACUGCAACUGACACUGAGGCUCGAAAGUGUGGGUAUCAAACAGGAUUAGAUACCCUAGUAGUC